GUGAGGAAUAUUGCGCAAUGGAGGCAACUCUGACGCAGCCAUGCCGCGUGCAGGAAGAAGGCGCUACGCGUUGUAAACUGCUUUUAACCGGGAAGAAACCCCAGGACGUGUCCUGGGUUGACGGUACCGGAGGAAUAAGCACCGGCUAACUUCGUGCCAGCAGCCGCGGUAAUACGAAGGGUGCAAGCGUUAUCCGGAUUCAUUGGGUUUAAAGGGUGCGUAGGCGGAGCGUUAAGUCAGUGGUGAAAUCCUGCAGCUUAACUGUAGACUUGCCAUUGAUACUGGCGCUCUUGAGUGCGCUUGAAGUGGGCGGAAUGUGCCGUGUAGCGGUGAAAUGCUUAGAUAUGGCACAGAACACCAAGUGCGAAGGCAGCUCACUAAGGCGAUACUGACGCUGAGGCACGAAAGCGUGGGGAUCGAACAGGAUUAGAAACCCCGGUAGUCC
rnacentral:rRNA from 1 species